rnacentral:lncRNA from 1 species
CCUGUAAGCACACCCAAGGUCACGUACUUCAAGAGGAAGUAUGCGGAAGAAGAGGAGCUUCCCACACCGCUCAGCAGCUGCAGCCAUAAGGCCAAGGACUGGUCUGGGUGACCUGGGUCUCUUAAAAACCAUUAUUUACAGGAAACAAAUGCCAAAAGGAAGAAAUAGGUAAGUUCUCCCACUUUCUCCAAGAUGAAGCUUUUUAAUUAUUGCUAUUGAUAUUAAAUAGGUCUCAUUCAUACAGUGUAUGAGUAGAUCGUUUGGGCAAUUGUCCGCAAGGACCAAUUUUCUAAAGAUGUUCCUGUGUUAUGGCUGAAUAGUCUAGUAAUGUCUCGUCCUUUAUUUUCAAUAUUUGAUGAACAUUUUGGUGUUGGAAAUUUAGCUGAUAGAUGCUUGUACAUGACUGUGUUGUAAUAUAGUGAGGUUUUCUUGAUAUAUAUUUAUUAAAACGAUCAAAAUUC